rnacentral:rRNA from 1 species
UACGGGGGGGGCAAGCGUUGUUCGGAAUUACUGGGCGUAAAGGGCUCGUAGGCGGCCAACUAAGUCAGACGUGAAAUCCCUCGGCUUAACCGGGGAACUGCGUCUGAUACUGGAUGGCUUGAGUGUGGGAGAGGGAUGCGGAAUUCCAGGUGUAGCGGUGAAAUGCGUAGAUAUCUGGAGGAACACCGGUGGCGAAGGCGGAUCUCUGGGCCAUUACUGACGCUGAGGAGCGAAAGCGUGGGGAGCGAACAGG